GCUCCUCGGUGCCCCCCCUGAGGGCCUCAGUGCAUCCAGGCCUGGGAAGGUGACUGAGAAGCAUACGGAGGCAGAAGUGAUGUAAAUAAUCCCCGCCGCAUCACUGAGCGAGCAGCAGCGUAAUCUCAUUCCUUUGCAGUGCAAAGAAACGUGCCGAUGGGUCAAGGUGCAGACGGCAACAGUGGAGGCCCAGCUCGCAGCAUGGGGUGCCCAGGACUGGUGCAUUGCUUGGGAACAUGCGUCCACCCCAGUCCUUCAUCGCCUCGAGAGCCUCAGGCAAAAACUUUCCUCGUUUCCACUCGCCCGCUGAAAUUUGUUUUGACAUGCACCCAGAAAACUGAUUCACGCAUGCAGCGUGUUUAGGCAGUCAGUUCUUACCUCAGUGAGCCAUCUUGCCUUAAGCCCUGCUUGGUAUGGGUUUGUGUAGGAGCGGUAUCUGGCAGCCCCAUCGUGAUUUAUAAUUCUGCUGCUGUAGACAAUGUACCAUAAUAAAAAAUGGAUUGUUCUCCAAA